rnacentral:rRNA from 1 species
GCCCUUGAUCUUAUCAAAGGUGUGACCUGCUCAGUGGUUUAUAAUCUCAAUAUAUAAUCUAUAAGUAAUUAAACUAAAAAGACGCAUUAACCUGAGUGUGAUAAUGUAGCGUAAUCACUCGCCAUUUAAUUGGUGGAUAGUAUGAAUGGUUAAACGAGUGUUCCAUUGUUUUUAAUGUAAAUUAAUUAAAAUUCAGAUCUUUGUAAAGACGCAAAGUAAAACUGUAAGACGAGAAGACCCUAUAGAGCUUCACUAUACACUCUUUCUUAAAAAGAAUUAAAAGACAGUGUGGUAGUUUGGUUGGGGCGACCGCCUUUUAAAAACAACAAAGGCCAGCAAACGUAAUAUUUUUAUUUACUGUAUAACCCAUUAGUUUAACAGUUACAAAAGUAGGCUAAAAUGACCCAUUUUAUAAAGCAUAUAAAAUGUUUAAGAAAUAAAAGCUACCUUAGGGAUAACAGGGUAAUUUCUGUAGGGAUUGAGACAAUGCCAGCAGAGCUUGCCACCUCGAUGUUGAAUUAAGGUAUCCUUACGAUUUAGCCAUCGUAAAGGGUAGGUCUGUUCGACCUUUAAAACCUC